UGCUGAGAAUGUGUUCCCCUUCUCCUCACCAAUCCCUCCCAAUCCUACCUCACAACCACCUCAAAACGAGCCCAGCUCCCUACCACCAGUCACCAAAAUAAACCUCAAACCACCUUCCCCGCCACUCGUAGUGCCACCGACGGGAUCUUCGAGCUCCGAUUCUAACCUGCAGGUACAGCAACAAACUCCCACCGAGACUUCAUCGUCUCCAGCCACGACGCCAACGUCACUUGCUCCGACUUCACCCACUACGACACCACCACAACAGUCGCCAAGUUCGACAACGCAAGCUACUAGAACAUCAUCAUCAUCAUCACCAC
rnacentral:lncRNA from 1 species